rnacentral:rRNA from 1 species
CCUACGGGUGGCAGCAGUAGGGAAUCUUCGGCAAUGGACGCAAGUCUGACCGAGCAACGCCGCGUGAGUGAAGAAGGUUUUCGGAUCGUAAAACUCUGUUGUUAGAGAAGAACAAGGAUGAGAGUAACUGUUCAUCCCUUGACGGUAUCUAACCAGAAAGCCACGGCUAACUACGUGCCAGCCGCCCCGGUAAUACGUAGGUGGCAAGCGUUGUCCGGAAUCAUUGGGCGUAAAGCGAGCGCAGGCGGUUUUGUAAGGCUUAUGUGAAGGCCCCCGGCUCAACCGGGGAGGGUCAUUGGAAACUGGGAGACUUGAGUGCAGAGGAGGAGAGUGGAAUUCCAUGUGUAGCGGUGAAAUGCGUAGAUAUAUGGAGGAACACCAGUGGCGAAGGCGGCUCUCUGGUCUGUAACUGACGCUGAGGCUCGAAAGCGUGGGGAGCAAACAGGAUUAGAUACCCGUGUAGUC